rnacentral:misc_RNA from 1 species
AAUCCCAAUUAUAGAAGAACUUCUGGAUGAAUUAGGAGGGGCACAGUUCUUCACCAAACUUGAUUUGCUUGCAGGAUAUUAUCAGGUUGCCAUGUACCCGCCGGACAUUGAAAAGACGGCCUUCCGAACACAUCAUGGCCAUUUUGAAUUCCUGGUAAUGCCGUUCGGGUUGUCAAAUGCCCCAUCCACUUUCCAAUCCUUGAUGAAUGAGGUAUUCCGGGAUUAUUUACGCAAAUUCGUUCUGGUUUUUUUUGACGACAUUCUGGUUUUUAGCAGUUCUUGG